rnacentral:siRNA from 1 species
AAGUAAAGUCUAUUGGAGAAAG